UACGUAGGAGGCAAGCGUUGUCCGGAAUCACUGGGUGUAAAGGGUGCGCAGGCGGGAAGGUAAGUCAAUGGUGAAAUCUCACGGCUCAACCGUGAAACUGCCAUUGAUACUGCUUUUCUUGAGUUUGGGAGAGGGUGGUGGAAUUCUUGGUGUAGCGGUGAAAUGCGUAGAUAUCAAGAAGAACACCAGUGGCGAAGGCGGCCACCUGGCCCAUAACUGACGCUCAUGCACGAAAGCGUGGGGAUCAAACAGG
rnacentral:rRNA from 1 species